rnacentral:lncRNA from 1 species
CCAUGUUCCUUGUUGAACUACUCCUUGCAAAGGCACUAUCACUUUCAUUUCAUGGCAAUUAAACCAUUGGCUAUUAAUUCAAUGAAGUUUAUGUUUAUGUUGUAUAAUAUAUCAGCAGCAAUAUUGUGUUUGAUUAAUUCUACUAUAGUUAAGGAGUAGUGGAUUGGGUUGAUGGAUGGAAAGAGGAGGCUGCUGAAGAAGAAAAGAGUGAGAGGGAAAGGAAUUUUGGAUUUUCGAAAAGCCUACACUCAUUCAAUCAUGUCGUGAGUUGUAUUA